AUGAACUGCGGCAGCAGCAGCGCGUCGCCGUGGCGCUGCUGCGGGACGUCGCGGCGGAAGCGGCCGCGGAACGCCGGCCAGCCGCGGAAGUCGUCCACGCAGAGGAUGGCCGGGGACAGCGACAGGUUCCUGGCCACGGCCGCCAUGUGCAGCGCCGAGGCGCCCAGGAACGCGCCCAGCUCCACGAUCACGUCGGGGCGCACCUCCUCGAUGAGGUCCGCGAACACCGCCCCCGUCGACCCCCACCCGCGCGGCCGCGCCGCCGCCGGGUGCAGCAGCUUCGCGGUGUGCUCCGGCGGGAAGCUCGCGUACGGGCUCUCGCCGUCGAACAGCUUGUCAAGAAGCGUCUUCACCACGUCCUCGGCCGGCACCGCCUCCCCGCACUUGUCCCCGAACCUGAACAGGUCAUGCGGCGGCGAACGCGGGUAG
rnacentral:rRNA from 1 species